UAACAAUUUGGUUUUGAACUGAAGACUCGACUCCAAAUUUAUAGUUUUAAUUGAAAAAUUCUUAUUCAUUUGGGUUUCAUGAACUAAUCGAGGAUCGGAAAGGAAUGAUUGAAUGUCGGGAAUUAUGACGAUUCAAUCGAAGAUUAGACGUUCUGGCUUAUCACUAAUUGGUUGGUUACUGACACAACUCUGUGACAUGGUAUAACGAAGUAUAACGAAGUAUAACUUUAAUGGUUUAACUGUGUAACCAAGUAUAACGUGAAUGGUAUAACUGAAUAAACAAGUAUAACUUUAAGUGGUUAAAUGUUUUUAUUGCAGACAAUGUGUCCAUUUUCGACGAACAUACACUUUGAUUAUGAUGGACAUUAUUCUAAGGAUGGAGAUGAUUAUGAAUGGAUUCCAACCGAUGCUCGUUUGUAUGCUAUAUCCUUUAAGACAUCAUCGUUGGAAGAGAUCACUUAUUCGUUGUUGAAAGAGAGGAUAUGCAGGAAGAUGGGAAUAGAUCCGUUUACGAAGAGGCUCAAUUUGGGUUACAUUCCAUUGGUAGUGGAACCUACGAGGCAAUCGUAUAUUUUGGAUGAUGAAGAUGUGUUUGUUUAUCUAACAUCAGUUGAUAGAGAGCAAAGAAGAAGUAUUUUGCAUGUGGAAGACAUCGAAGAAUUGCAAAUAGUUCAAAUAACCGAGCAACUGUCGAGAGUUGGAGAGAGCUCUUGUAGUAGGAACUAUUGUGAGCGUGAGAGUGGAUAUGGAGAAGAAGAUAAUGUGGGCACAGGUUUGGAGCACGAUGAACAUCCCCACAAGAAACAGAAGAAGAGUAGGUUGUAAACCUUUCGGUUUCAGUUUUGAUGUGGAUUAGGUUGUAAGCCUUUCACUUUCGGUUUUGGUGUUUGCCUUUCACUUUCGGUUUUGGUGUUUUUAUCGUAUGAGAACGUUGUGAGGUGAAAUAAAUUUUAUUUGUGUGUUGUAUAACUAAGUGAAACUGGUAUAACUACGUUAUGUAAAUUGAAUAAUAUGAUUGUAAAUUCUAAACUUUGUAAUUUAAUUUUAUAAGUCAUGGAAGUAAUACGAUUGUAGUUUAUUAUUAGUGCUAUGUUAAUUAUGAUUUAAUCAGAAUUGUUAAAAUUCUAUCUCAUUGCUUGGUAGCAAUCAUAUAGGAAAUACAAUGUGUUGUCAUAGCUUUAUCGCUGAAACUGACCUCGUUAGAUUUGAUAACUCUUUAUGGCACGAAAUCAAGUUUAUAUGUACAUGAUCGUAUGAGAAAUGAACUCAGGAAACAUAAUUGCAUUGGUAUAACCACAAAAUCAUUAAUUCAAGUCGAGUAUAACUAAGAUAAAUAGAAAUAAUUAAAAAGUGCAACUUUGACGCUUUCUGUAAAACUGAGUACUUGGUGAAACUUACAACAGAAAAAACCGUGGGAUUCUUAAUUUUCCCGCCCAGCUUUUCGAAUUUCUAAUUUCCGAGCUUUUCCCAAUCGUUCAAUCGAAGUAUUAAAGACCCUUUUUUUAGGUUUUCCCCAUUUGAUAUCUUCAUUUUCUCUCUCUUCCCUAAUCUUUCUCCUCUUUCUCCUCUCUCUCCUCGUCACUGCCUCCCCUCCCAAAAACCGAGAUGUCCGCCGCUUCAUCUUCCACGACCGGUGGUCGGAGACGGAUACGAACUCCGGGGAUACCUAGUAGGUGUUGGUGCGGGGUGGGCGUCACCGAGAUCAUCUCCAGAAGCAAUCCAAACCCAUAUCGCCGGUAUUAUCGGUGUCUCUUUGCGGCUUCACAAAGGGUACAUCCGUUUGUUGUUUAUAUAUCGAACGCUUAUGAAUCACGCUUACUCGUUUUGAAAAAAAAUCAUGUUGUAGCUCGAGAACGACAAUCAUGUCUUCAAAUGGGUUGACGAAGCCUUCACCGAUGAGAUACAACAGCUGAACUACCAAGUUCGAAUGCUCGAAGAAGAAGUUCAGAGUCUCAAAGCAACAAUAAGGAAUGAAGGAGAUAUCCGCGAAGGUCCCAAAAAGAUGCCCAUGAUAAAGAUAUCAGGAGGUUGUGUUCUUCUUACCAUCGUUUUAGUUGUAGGAAUUAUGAUGUACAAAAAGUAAUUGAAAUUCCUAAGAGAAUUCCAAUUCCUAUAACUAACUGUUAUUGCUAAGAUACGUUUUUCUAAGUUAUGCGAAGUUGAACAACCAUGUAGUUUGAUCUAUCGAAAAAGUUUCUAUUAUUUUUAGUAUGUUAGACAAUUGAGAAAGUGAAACUAACACAAUAUCUGACCUAUUUAUACGAAAAAGUCGAACAGAGAAUUAAGUUAAGCCAGAAGUUGGAACAAGGAUUAAGUGAAACCAAAAGUUGAAACAAGUGAGAUUAAGUGAAACCAAAAGUUGAACAGGUGAGAUUAAGUGAAACGAAAAGUUGGAAAAUUGACUAAGUGAAACUAUAAAGUUAGAAAAUUGAACAAUAGAGUGAACAAAGUUGUACCGACAAUAGAGAUAGUUUCACCAACAUUAACACAUAGUUGUACCGAUAUUUAAACAAAGUUUCACCGACAUUAAACAUUUACACGAGACCUUCAACCCCAUAUUUCUGAACAUAAGGGUCGCUGUUUAGUACAGACUGCCUGAAUUCCUCAACCUCUGGCAAACGCGGAUUGAACCUGAAGUCCGCAAAUCCACCUUCAGUCUGAAGCCAUAUAUCAUCAGGACCAAAAUAAUCUGCAUGGUCUUGAUUUUAGCAAAAGUUCUACUCAACUAUCACAUUUAAAACUAGACACAGAAACAACACUUACUCGUAGAUUCACAGACUCUCCACAUCUUAAGGACCACAAUCACCUGUCUACGACCCCCACCACUCAUGUCAUCAAGACCAUCCCGGAAGGCAACUGCCUGAGUGCCGGUCACCACACAUCUUAUCUGAUGGUCACUAUUCAGAAUAAAGAAAAAGUGCGUCAGUUACAAUAUAUAUAUAUAUAUAUUUUGCUUGGAUCAUAUGUUACUUUAUACUCACAUGUUGUCCCUUAUGUAAAACUCCAUCCUUGGUCCUGAAGGGGCAUCGAGAUGGGCUUCCGUGUUGAAGACCACUCCCAUUGUAUCUACUAUAUAAGUGUUACUCAACUAAAUCAGUUUGUUUCACUUAGUUUCACUUACAUCUACAGAGUUAUACAAAGUUCUGAAACCAAGCCAUGCGACUGUUGAGAUUACCAUUCCUAAAUCAGUUGUGAUUACCAUUCCUAAACCAUUCCUAAACCAUUCCUAAAUCAGUUGUGAUUACCAUUCCUAAAUCUGUUCGUUUCACUUACAUAUGGGAUAUUUGAGGUCACGCCAGUGCAUGCGAGGGAUUGCAUGGAUGCUUUUGAAAUCAAAGAAAAGACGAUUGUUCAGAGGUUCGAUGAUGCGGACUUGCGUAAGGCGCGAAGCAAUUAGUCUGAACGGAGACCUAGUUGUCUUGAAACAUGGGUAGGCCCGUUCAACAUCUACCACAAAGAUUUCCACCCAUCUUCCCUCUUCCUUCUCAAGGCCUCUAAAAUUUUUAUAAUUCCCAUAAGUGUUCAUCUCCAUCUUGUAUCCCUACAAAAAUAAAGUACAAAGAUCAUGUUUAUUACAUGUUACAAGGAUUUUUAUUUCUGACGGUUACAUGUUUAUUACACAAUUGAGAGAUGAUGAUAUACACUUACAUCUUCAUCUGCGAGGAUAUAGUUAUAGUAAGGCCCACUGUUGGUAACACAGGAAUAGAAAGGGUAGAUCCUGUGUAGUUUCACUCUGAAACGCCAAGCCCUGACCGCCGGGUUAUAAGUAACCUCGGAAAGCUUAUCGUACUCUGACAUCUUGUGUUUGUUGAGAGAUGAGAGAAGAGAUGGAGUAUUCGCAGAGAUGAGAGAAGAGAUGAGAGAGGAGAUGGAGUAACAGUGAGUGUUUAAAUGCAGAAUUCUCUUAAAUGCAAGAGAUGUAGCGUAUAAAUGAUACUCGGAAGUGUAAUGAUUAUUAAAAGAGACUUUUUUCACAAGAGAAGUCGUGGGGACGUCUUUUCCUUUCGACGAGUCUAUCAAAUGUCGUGUUCGUUCCACGAGUCUAUCAACCUCGGGCAAAAAUAUGAGUAGUAGAUUCUAAUAGUUCAUUAAAUUACAGGUUUUUUCUCAAAAUUAAUAUUAUCCUUUUCAUUGAUUAUCUCCUACACUAGUAGUUGCUAUCAUUAAAUAUAUGAACUCUAAAUAUAUUCACUAACUAUUAUACAUUUUGGAAACUGACCAUAUUUUAAAAAAUAAAACGAUAUAAUAUCUAAAUUUCGUUAAGUUUUGUAUAGUUUCAAAUUUUCAUACAAUCUAAAUUGUUACGUUUUGCUUAGUUUCAUAAAUUUAGCCCGUGAUCUCCACGAGUUUCACUUACUUAUACAUAUUUAUGUAUGUUAAAAUUCAGGAGAGGCGACUGUUGCAGUCAGAAAGCGUGUUAGAUAAGUUGAAGUAGUUAUGCUUUCUCGAGGAGAGAAAUGGUUUAAUCUCGGGGGAGUCUCGAGUCAAUCAAGUAAUAAUACUCAUCAAAUCAACCUUGAAACUGACAUAUUUUAAAAAAUAAAACGAUAUAAUAUCUAAAUUUCGUUAAGUUUUGUAUAGUUUCAAAUUUUCAUACAAUCUAAAUUGUUACGUUUUGCUUAGUUUCAUAACGUGAUCUCCACGAGUUUCACUUACUUAUACAUAUUUAUGUAUGUUAAAAGUCAGGAGAGGCCACUGUUGCAGUCAGAAAGCGUGUUAGAUAAGUUGAAGUAGUUAUGCUUUCUCGGGGAGAGAAAUGGUUUAAUCUCGGGGGAGUCUCGAGUCAAUCAAGUAAUAAUACUCAUCAAAUCAACCUGAGUCAAUCAAGUAACAAUACUCAUCAAAUCAACCUUAAAUGGACACGCCACUGUUCAACUUCAUUAAAUAUAGUUAGAUAUAUCUUAAUAAAUUAUAGUUUUACAAAGUUUCAAUUCCAACAGACGCGACUGUUAUUCAAAAGGCGUGUCACAGAAGUCAUGUCUUCUCGAGGAGUCCAUCAAAUCACCUAUAAAUGGUUUAUCACUUCUACAACUACACUCUACAAUUACAUACAAUUUCGAAUCUCUACAAUUUCCCUCAUCUCUCUCACACAAUAACAUUUUUUUCUUUUAUCAGAUUUAGACAUGGAUUCUCUCCCUCCUUCAAUGCUUCAUAAGAUUCUCUCUACGGUAGCAACGAUGAAUAUCCGGGAUUUUAGUUCUGCAAGGAUUGCUUUUCCCGGGUUCAACGAAGUUGGAAGAGAAGAUCACUUCUACAGAUCGGCCAAUCUCAUUUACCUGAAUGACUGGGUAGACGAGGUCUGUUCUGUUCGAACAUUCAGGCUUAAAUGCUACCGUUCGGGUAAUCCAGAGGCCAUAUACUUGAGAGGUAUGUAUGAGUUCUUCAUCCUCCAUUUAGUUGAUGAAGGAUGGGAAAAAUCCAUCUUGCUAGUGAGAGAGGAUGCGAGUUGGCCCAGUAUGUUGAUGGAAUGCUGAACUUAGCCUUUAGCGUUGAUCAGAGGGGAAUUGUUCACAACUACCCUGCCUUUACUCGUCAAUAUGUUGAUAAGAUGUUUCAAAUCAUCUGUAGUUGGCAACUCUCAGGCCAUUGGGAUUACGAUAAACCUGGCAUGUUUCUAUCUAUGGCUGAAAGGAUAGAUCCUAAUGUGCCACGUGAUUGCUGGUGUUCCCACAUAGACCCUCCAGAGUUUGAAGUCUCCCUAGAUGGAUCACGAUCACGGUGGAAAUGCGAUUCAUUGUUUCUGGAAUUGUGCAGCGUAUGACUUCUGCUACCAAAUACACUUGACUGCUCGCACAUGGCCAAUUGAAGAUUAGUAGAAGUUUUAUCUAGUUUUACUAAGUUAUUAAGUUGAUGAGCUGUUAUGCUCUUUUAUUUCUCUAGUUCUAUCUAUAAACAUUAUGUAAUUACUCUAGUUAUAUCUAUAAACUAAUCUUUUUAUUUGAACUUCACUAAAUAUAUCAAUAACAACACAUGUGGCCGAACAAUAACGUAAUAAUAAAUUGCAAUCUAAAUGUGGAGUACUCAAUGUGCGAUUUAGUUCAAUUUAGCAUAACUUUGUAACUGGGACAGUAUUUAUUUGUUCAGGUUUUAUUACGCUACACAGUUAUACCAAAGUUUACAAUUACACUAAGUCAUAUAAAGGUUUCGGAAGUUAAGGCGAAAUAGAUCUGAAUUUAUGGAUCGGGUCUGGAUGGUCCGCGAAAUGGCCCUGGUUGGGUUGUAAUUAUGUAAGUUUCUGUUGGCUCUGUGGUCUUUUAAUAAAUUUUCUGAUUUAAUUAAAGAUAUAUUAAAUUCCAAAUCCGGUCAGUUUCGGGCAGGAGUAUCUCAGAUCAUUUUUUUUCGGGCAGGAGCACCUGAGCGUUUAAUUCAUAAUAAUUAGGGUUCUUAGUGAUUUAAACUAUUUUUAAAUCGGAUAGAAAACUUCCAACUAAAAUUUAUAUUUUAUAACCAUCAACUAUUAAUCCGUUAAUACCGUUAAUCCUCUGUUAACAAGACCGUCUUUUCUUAACGGAGAUCCGUUAAAUUGAAACGCAGUGUUUCAUAUAAUCACAAAAACGACAUACGAUACUUAUAAUCAAUUAAUAUUUUAGUGAUUUAAACCUCCAACUAUUUGUAAAAAACCUUCAACUAAAAAUUUAUGUUUUUACACCCCUAACUAUUAAACUUUUAGUGUCUUUAAUCCUCCGUAAACAAAGUUGUUUUUUCUGAAUAUUGUUUCCUUUAAUCACAUAAACAAUACAAAAUGCUUAAAGUCUCUUUUAUCAAUGGGCAGAGACAGUCACGUUUCAUCUCCAAAUCAAAAAAAUUAAAGUUCUUCCUUUUCAAAAACCAUCUAAGGAGAUAUAAAUAAAAAACUUACUAAUAUACUAAAUUAAUAUAUUAACUAAUCCCAAAACUGGGUAGCCGGAACAGUUAUAGUGGAUCCGUUUACCGGAGAAACAGUGACUUCUAACAACACUGAAACAAACAAAAGACGUAACACAAUAAAAUAGCUAAGAGAAAAAUGAAUUCGGCAUUGGUGAGAAGAUGGAGAGAGCACGAAGUUCCCUACUCCGAGGAAACAUAGGCAGCCAUACAGUGAACUCAGUGGACUUCACGGAGAGUGGCGUGUCCGAGACCAGCACACCGUUCCGCUUACAAAAAACCAGCCGACCACCUUCGGAUGUGUUCCACGGCCACUAAACGCCAGACUCUAGCAAGGGUCGUCAACCAAAACAAUACAUCCGCCAUUAUCAUGAAGCCUCGCAGUCUCAAGAAUCCAAAAGUUGUGCCCAUCACCAUAGUCGAUCCGGUCGAGAGAGGUGUCCGCUUUAAGAGCAGAGAGCCUAGGAGAACCGCCAUCCCCAUAGGUUAACCCGUAGUCGUCGGAUUCCUUCACAACUGUUGGAGAUUGAAACCCUAGUUCUCGAUGUGACAUCAUUACCUACUUCACCACCUAUCUUUACCUUUUACUACUUUACUGCAAAUUAAUAAUGGUCACGGGUUGCAUCCCGUUUACAGGUUACAUGUUUGACCGUUAAGCAUUUUUUCCCUAUUUGUAUAACUUUGGCAUUUUGUUGGAAAGCAAUCAUAUCAGUACUAUCUAUCUUCUUCUUCAUUUCUCUCUCAUUACGCCAUUUUUAUCACAUUGCUCAGAUCUAUUACUUGAAGAGCCAUCUCGAACCUUAGGGAUUUCGCCAUGGUUGAAACACGAUACCAAGAGAAGACGAUGAUUGAGCUGAUUGAGGAGAUCCGUACCGUUCAAGAGCGCCAACCCGCCGAGUUUUGUCAGCGUGCCGACUCUCUAUACAAACGCUACAACAAACAUGAAAGACUUGUCUUUGAGAACUUUUCUCACACACAAAAUCAAGGCGAACAACAGUUCAACGACGCUGGUGGUUCUCAGAUGAUUGAUCCGACCUCAGCAGAGUCAAACAGACCUCCAAAUCCACCGGAUCUUCAAGGUUUUCGACAUCACACGAACAGAGAACCUUCCCCUAUCCCUUCGAAAGGCUAACCAAAGCGUGUUUUCCGGCGUUUGAUGAAACAUAGAUACGCUACUGGAUCUGUCGUUGUGAACAGUUCUUUGAUAUGGACAACACAUCACCGGAGAUGAAAGUCCGUCUCGCUGCGAUGCACCUCUUUGGCAAAGCUCUCAAGUGGCACCGCAACUACAUGGCCGAGCAGUUUGGGAUCUUUCCAUCUUGGACUGAUUACAUUAUCGCCAUUUCAGGUAGAUUCAAUGGACUCUUUGAUGCCCCUCUUGCAUAUUUGGUUUCAUUAAAACACGGAUCAGACACUAUUGAAGAGUUCUUUGAGAAGUUUGAGAACGCAAGAACUCGACUUUCCUUGCACGAAGCUCACGCUCUCAGUAUUUUCCUGACAAACAUGAAUCCACAUCUUUCACUUUAUGUUCAUCAGUUUGGUGUGACAACCCUAUCACCUGCAGCGAGAAUAGCCAUUUUCCAUGAGUCUUCCUUGGCUGCAACAGCACAACGCUCUCACAGAACUCCCUUCAAUCCUUCCCAACAACAUAAAUAGUUUAGUGGAUCUUCAUACAAACAGCCCAAUGCACCACCAAUGUUACCAUCUCCUGACAGUUCAAAAACCUCGCCUGCUAAACCCACAUCUAUUCCUCGGAAUGUUAAUGAUAAACAUGCAAGGAAGUUCUCUUACCAGGAGAUGCACGAACGUCAAGCCAAGGGACUGUGUAUGUUUUGUGAUGAAUUUUUCUCUCUAGGACACCAACUCAAACACAAACGUUCACAGAUUUUCGUAAUGGAAUGCAACAAAGAAAAAAUUGAAGAUGAAUCCAUCGAAGAGAAUGGUCAAGUCGCUGACGUUACCAGUGAGAAACCUCAAGUUGAACCCACACAAUCUCAGUUAACGCUCACAGUGGGUCCACAACAUUCAACUACAUGAGAGGCAUUGGUCAGUAUGGAAAACGGAAGCUCUACAUCCUCAUUGAUCCGGGAAGCACACAUAACUUCUUAGACCUCAAGGUCGCUAAUAAACUGGGUUAUCGCCUCGAAGCUUUCAGCCCAAUGUCUGUAGCAGCUGUUAAUGGAAAUAACUUGAUCACCAAAUACAAAUGCAACAACUUUCCAUGGACAGUUGAAGGUUAUUCUUUCACGUCGGAAAUCAUGACUCAUCCACUUGAUUGCUGUGAGUUAGUGCUUGGUGUACAAUGGUUGUCCAGUUUAGGACCUAUCUUAUGGGAUUUCUUGAAUUUAUAAUGGAAUUCAACUUCAACAACUUGAAGCAUGUCAUGUGAGGUGUUACUAAGUCCGGUUGCAAAUUGAUCAAAUGAGCGAGUCUUAAUAAGUUGAUGUUGAAACAACCACUGAUUGCGAUGUUUCAGAUAAUAUAAAUUGAAGUUUCAGAUACCUCCUCUCAACUCACUCCAGAAUCCCUUUUCUCCCACAUCUCUGCUCCUCAAAGUAUGCUAUCCAAUGACAAAUGUUGAAGUCACUACUGGUUUCAUAUGCUGGCCUGUUUGAAGAACCCAAGUAGCUACCUCCAUUCCGGGAAGGUUUUGAGCACACCAUUCCUCUGAAAGCGAGAGUCAACCCGGUUAACUUCCGACCAUACCAGUACUCUUCAUUACAGAAGGAUGCAAUUGACGAAAUGCUGAAAGACAUGUUGCAACAAGGGAUUACUCAGUCCAGUUCAAGCCGCUAUGCAUCUCCCAUUGUUCUAGUCAAGAAAAAGGAUGGUGGUUGGCGCCUUUGUGUGGAUUACAUAGGGCUUAACAACCAAACUGUAAAGGAUAAAUACCCUAUCCUUCUCUUGGAAGACUUACUUAAUGAACUUGGCGGAGCAGUUUAUUUCUCCAAGCUAUAUCUUCGGGCCAGUCUCCAUCAACUCAUAAUGUCUCCAAAUGAUCUGUACAAGACAGCAUUCAAGUCCCAUGCAGGCCACUACGAAUAUUUGGUUAUGCCCUUCGGACUAUCUAAUGCUCCUUGUACCUUUCAAUACUUGAUGAAUCAUGUGGUCCAAGACAUCGCACGAAAGUUUCUCCUUCUCUUUUCCGAUGAUAUAUUGGUCUACAGUCAAAACUGGGACACUCACUUGAUUCAUCUUCAAGAAGUGUUCUCUUUUCUGCGCCAACAACAACUAUACCAUAAAGCCUCGAAGUGUUCUGGUGCCACGAAAAUUGAAUUCAUGGGAUACUUCAUUGAAGCCAAAGGCAUAGCACUGAUCCUGCUAAAGUAGAAGCAAUCAAACGGUGGCCUAUUCCAGUCUCCACCAAGCAGUUGAGGAGCUUUCUCGGUUUGACGAAUUACUACAGACGGUUUGUGAAAGGCUACAACAUACCCUCUUGACCUCUCACUGUUCUACUACAGAAAGAUGGUUUAGAAGUUGAGGUUGCAUUCAAUAACCUGAAAGAAGCUCUAUGUUCUGCACUUGUUCUUUCACUUCUGGACUUCAACAAAACCUUCAUCGUUGAAACGGAUGCCUGCAACACAUGCAUAGGAGCUGUACUUAUACAAGAGGGACACCCUAUCUGCUAUAUCAGUUGUGCAUUAGGCCCUAGACAACAGUAUUUGUCUGUGUAUGAGAAGGAACUUAUGGUUGUUGUCCACAUUGCCCAAGUCUGGAAUGCUUACCUUGCCCAUCGUCCCUUCAUCAUCAAAACCGAUCAAAAGAGCCUUAAAUACAUGGUAGAGCAGAAAGAAAUCACUCAUUUCCAACACAUGUGGCUCUCGAAACUCAUGGGCUAUGACUUUGAGAUCCACUACGAGCUGGGUAAAGAAAACGUUGUUGUGGAUGCCUUAUCAUGCGUCUCCGGUUCUCAACUGCUUCAUAUAUCACUCUCUCAAGCUCACCAAGGUUUCUUCGACUCCUUGAAACUCCUCUGGUAGACAGACCCUAGUCUUUCAAAGUUGAUUAUUGAGCUGAAAAUCAACAAAUCAUCUCACCCUUAGUAUACCUACACUAAUGAGGAUUUCAGAAGGAAAGACAAACUGGUUGUUGUAAACAGCACAUAGGUCAAGACUCACAUACUUUGCAGGUUACACGAUUCUGCAGUGGGUGGUCACUCUGGCCGAGACGCAACUCUUCACAGGAUCAAGUCCUUAUUUUUCUGGCCAAAGAUGUCCGUGGAGGUACAUAAUUAUGUCAGAAACUGCAGCGUUUGUCAGAAAAAAAAUGAGAACGUGGCAAAAUUGGGUCUGCUUAAUCCUUUACCUGUUCCACAAUGAGUUUGGGAAUCAGUCAGCAUGGAUUUUAUAGAGGGGCUCCUUCCUUCGUCUGGAAACCAUUGCAUAAUGAUUGUCAUUGACAGACUGAGUAAGAACGUGCACUUCCUUGCUCUAUCUCAUCCAUAUACGGCUAUUGAAGUUGCACAAGCCUAUCUGGAUAAUAUCUUCAAGCUACAUGGCCUCCCUAAACACAUAGUGAGCGACAGAGACCCUACUUUUCUCAGUGAAGUGUGGAAAGAGCUGUUUCGAGUACAUGGAGUAGACUUGUGCUAUUUUACUUCCUAUCACCCUCAAACCGACGGACACCCUGAGGUCACUAACAAGACUCUCGAAACAUAUCUUCGUUGUAUGACUGCUGAGGCUCCCCAUACCUGGAGGAAAUGGCUCACGCUUGCAGAAUGGUGGUAUAACACUACUUACUAGUCAGCUAUUAAGAACACACCCUUUGAGAUCAUGUAUAGACAACCUCCUCCACUACACCUACCAUACCUUUCGGGUGAAAGUUCUUCUACACUAGUAGAUUGAAGCUUACGCAAGCGUGAAUAGGUCAUAUCUAUGCUGAAGUUCCAUUUGUUGCGAGCUCAGAACAGUAACAAACAUGAUGCUGAUUUUCACUGAUUACAGAGGGCAUUUUUCAUUGGAAACUAUGUCUAUCUCAAGCUCCAACCAUACCGACAGAAAACACUCAAGAACAUGAAGAUUUCUCACACGUCCAUUCAAGGUUACCGAUAUUGUUGGGUCAUCAGCCUACCGUCUGGAACUUUCACCUGAAGCAGCUAUACACAAUGUAUUCCACGUAAGCCAGCUCAAACUCUGUCCUAAUCCACCCACUAGCGCUCCAUCUUUAUCUCAGUUCUGGUCUGAUUUGGGAGCCUCUAAAGAACCUGAAGUGAUCCUUGAGACGAAGAUGGCAGAGCGUCGGAAUUUGGCUGUCACUAAAGUCUUGGUUCAGUGAAAAGGGGAAAGCCUAGAAGAAGCUACUUGGGAGUUCUACAAGGACUUCAUUGCCAAAUAUCCACUUUCAUCCUUGAGGACAAGAAUGAUCUUGAGCAUGGGGGUACUGUGACAUCAUUUACCUGCUUCACCACUUAUCUUUACCUUUUACUACUUUACUGCAAGUUAAUAAUGAGUCACAGAUUGCAUCCCAUUUACAGGUCACAUGUUUGACUGUUAAGCAUCUUUUCCCUAUUUGUACAACUUUGGCAUUUUGCUUGAAAGCAAUCAUAUCAAUACUAUCUAUCUUCUUCCUCAUUUCUCUCUCAUUACGUCAUUGUUACCAUAUUGCUCAGAUCUCGUACUUGAAGAUGACAUUUCUCAGUUUAGCUCACCUUUUAGUCCUUGAUUCUUUUUCUCCUUUAAGUCUACAGAAGAUUUACAGGGAAACUUAUCCUUUCAUCCUUUCACCCUAUGAUUAAAUUGCGGCUUCUUAACGUCGUCGCCUCCAUCGCCCUCUAACAGAGAAGCCAGCCGUCGACUCCAACGAACUACCAGGACCCCGGAUCUGCCAAGGAGGUCCACUGCACAUGGACAUGUCCGAUGAAGACGAGCCUCUGCGACCACCAGAUCUUGUCUCUUCCGUCAGAUAAGCACAUAUCCGGAAGCUAAAAGCGAGAGGAGCGCUCGAUCUUGGCGCGGGGAAUGAUGCCGGUGGUGUGUGAGCCUCUCCUCGACGCCAAAAAAGUGAAAACAAAAGAGAAAAGAGAGAGAGGAGUGUGUGGUUACUCUUGCCACUCAGAAGCCAUAAAUGUUUUACUGUAAAGUUAUACCUGCAAACUUUACAGUAAAUAGUUAUAGCUGCAAACCAGCCAAAAUUUUAUAGAAAUGAAAUCUAAAAAAAUAGUUUAUAGAGUUAUAGCUGCAAACUAUUUUAUUAGAUUUUACUUCUACAAAAUUUUGGCUGGUCGCAACUUUUAAAAGAUGGUGUAUAUCAGGUGUAAAUAAAUAUUAGAUAUAUACAUUGAAAUAUUUAUAUUUAUAAAUAAGAAAAUAAAAUUUAUAAUAAUUUUAAUAUAUUUUACAAAGUAAAUAAUAUAUAUGUAAGGUGUUCGGUCCUUGCAUUUGGACAUAUUUGUUUCUUUUUUGGUACUUACUAAUAUAUUAUUAUAAUUCAAAAACCAUCAGUAUAAUAAUUUAUUUUAAUACUUUUAAUCAUUUUUCAUUUUUUUCAAUUUUUCUUCUUCUUUUUUUCCAUCUCGUUUUCAGCUUCUUAAAUAUACACUAAAGCUAUAAAACUACGAAAAUGUAACAACAUGUCAAAUAUUUUAUAAAAUAAAGUAAAAUAAAAAAGUUAAAUUUUAGAUCUUUUUAACACAUUUACCUCUUAAAACAACAAACAUAUAUGAAACAACCAAUAUUAUCGAAAACUGAAAAAUAAAACAAGAAAAAUGUAAGUAAAAAUUAAAUUAAAAUUUAAAAGUUUAUGAUAAUUUAAAAGGAAAACAUUUACAAAUUAAUAUACUGAUAAUAUUUCUUGGAUAUCAUCGUCGUCUGUAGCAUCUACUUGUACGGGUUCUUUUGGAUUUUCGCUUGCUCCCUCCCGAUGAUUUUCCUUCACUUUGACCUCCACACAUAGUUUAACGUUUUCGACUUUGCAAAGACACAAGAGGCUGUGAUAUUGCCUGUCGUUUCCUACUUUCACAGGUGGUGUAUUGAGGUUUUGUUUGCGAAGACUCCGCUUCGGUAAAAGGCAUCUCAGUUCUAAAAUCAUGCUAUCCGAAUCAAUUCCAUAAUCCUCAUAUAUGAUUUUCACAAAAUCCUCAAAUCUAUUUUCCUCAUAAGCUGCAACUGAUUUGUUACCUUGAUCAUUGUCAACUUCAAAUAACCACUUCCUUUUGUCAAGUUUCCACUUUCCACAGACGACAAUAAUCUGUUCCAUUAUUCUCAAAUCAAUAAGGCUUUGAACAAGGAUGAAUCCACCAUGAAAGUGGACUACAUGAUUUGUAAGAAAGAUGGCGAAGGGGAUGACGACAGUUACACUAUUAAAAACCUAAUCUGGGUCUUAAUUCCACUUGAAAUAAACUUGUUCACGAAAUUGAUUAAACCGGAUUUAAUUGGAAUAAUUAUGAUCAGUUUUCAAAACCCAGAUUUUCGGCUAAAUGUCUGCUGUCAGAUUAAUGGAAAAUAUAUCGUAAAUUUAAAUCGGGUACACAAAUCUCCCUUAAAAUUAAAUCUGUCAGAAAAAUCUGUAACUUUUAAUAUAUUUGCUACCUCAAUCGAUAGAUAUACACUAUAAAAAUGUUUUCUAAUAACAACGGAUUGUAAACUCUGCCAGAGCAAAAAGAUAUGUCGUUCACCAUAAAUUAUGUCGCCUCGUUUUUUAGCAGAUUUUAGUUUAUGCAACCGAUUUCCAAAACAAACUUAAAAUAUGACAGAUUUUUUUUUGAUAAAUUAAUAUGCCAAGGACGAUUUUGAACAAACUUUAAAUGGCAUAUUCAUAAUUCAUUUUUUGAUAUAACUAUGCAUAAGGGAAUUCUAGGCCAAAAAAAAAAUUCUAAUAUUUUUUUAUAAAAUAUGAGUCGUUCUAGUAAUACUCAAAUAUAUUUGAGUCAUUCAAGUAAACUUCCCUAUAAUAAAUCCAAACUGAACCCGAGUAAACGCAAACAAAAACCGAACUGAACUUUAUAAUACCCUAAUGAAGCUUAAAAUUGUACACCCAAAAACCUAAAUCCGAUUUUACCCUGACUCGAACCCGGUAGGACACCCGAACGUAAUGCCUAAUUCAAACAUAAUUAUUCAUCUUAGUUCCCCCAAAUUAAUCCUCUAGGGAUAUAUAUAUAUAUAUAUAUAUAUAUAUAUAUAUAUAUAACUUCAUUUUUCUUAUCAAAUUUGAAGAGAAACAAUGAAGAAAGAUAAAAAAAAGUCAGUCAUUAUUUAUAUAUCUUUUAGAAAAGAUUUGUUUUUCAUUUUUUUAAUAUUGUUAUUCUUAAAACUAAUUCAUCUUACAAUCAUCAUUAGUCACUACGAAUAUUUUUUUUUGUCACAGGUUCAUAUAAACUCUUCAAAAGUUACUAUGAAUAUCUAUUCACAAAAAUUCAGAUUUAUUCCUCAAUUUUCUUUAUUCUUUUGUUUAAUUCACUUCAUUUAUUUUUAUUCAUUUAUUGUUUAUUUCGAUCACUACAAAAAAAACACUGUUUAGCAUCAUUUGUUUUUAAUAUUUGCAUUAAUUAUAAAUGAUGUAAAAUAAAUUUGCAUCACUUAAGUAAAUGACUCUGAAAGUGGUGAUGCAAAUAAUUUACAUCAUUUUAUUACUAAAUGAUACAAAUAUAUCAAAUAUUGACAUUAGUUACUAUAAGUGAUGUCAAUAUGUAUCAAUUAUAAGAAAAUGAUAUUAACAUUCACAUCUGUUUUGUAAAUGAUGUUAGUUUAGUAUCAAUUAAAAUAAUUGAUUUCAAAAUUUUAUAUCAUUAUCAAUAACUGAAGUAAGAUUAAUAUUAAUUUAUAAAUUAAUUUUAAGAAAUUUAAAAUUUAAAAUAAUUAUUUAAUUUUUUUUCAUUUGUAUAUUUGAUUAAAUUUACGUACAUAAUUAAUUAGAACAUUUUUCAUUAACUCUUUUUCUUUUUCUUUACACUGGUGAUAGAAUCUGAAGAACAAAAAAAAAAACAGGAAACAAAAGAAAGAUGGAUUCAUAGAGAAAAUAUUAAAAACAAAUAAAAAAAGUUCCUUUGCUUUUAUAUUCAAUCUUCAGUUGAAUGAAUUCAAUACUGAUGAAAUUCAUCGAAGAAUGCUGCUUUUCUCAUAGACUUCUACUCUUCUACACUUGCAAGAGAUUCUGGUAGUAUGAAUUCUAACAGAAAAUAUCCUCUCCAAGAGAUUUUGCAGCAGUUAUCCUCUUGAAACACCAAACAGUACACUGUUUUUCCACUAACUUCCGCCAUAAGAAACUCAGAAAACUGUUAUGCGUAUUCUUCUUUCAGCAGCCUGACGAGGAAGACGAGGACUAUACAGUAAAAAAUAAUUACAAUUUUCAAAAAGACAAUUAGAAGAAGAAGAAGAACAAAAGAAAAAUAUUACCUUUAGAAAAAGUUUUUAUCAGAUUCGUUUGACUAGGAUACCCUACUUUCCUUCCAAAUCCUACAUAAGAAAAAACAGUACAAUCAUCAUUCAUAAAAAAAAAAGCUUGAUUCUUGUUGUUUUUUGUUCAUAAAUCAAAUAGCCUAGAACUAUAAAUUUUAAACUGAUAAAAAACUUGAAAAAACUGAGAGGAAGAUCAGAUACAAAAAAAAAA